rnacentral:rRNA from 1 species
CCUACGGGAGGCAGCAGUGAGGAAUAUUGGUCAAUGGACGCAAGUCUGAACCAGCCAUGCCGCGUGCAGGAUGACGGCUCUAUGAGUUGUAAACUGCUUUUGUACGAGGGUAAACCCCGAUACGUGUAUCGUGUUGAAAGUAUCGUACGAAUAAGGAUCGGCUAACUCCGUGCCAGCAGCCGCGGUAAUACGGAGGAUCCGAGCGUUAUCCGGAUUUAUUUGGUUUAAAGGGUGCGUAGGCGGUUUGAUAAGUUAGAGGUGAAAUGUCGGGGCUCAACCCCGAAACUGCCUCUAAUACGGUUGGACUAGAGAAUAGUUGCGGUAGGCGGAAUGUAUGGUGUAGCGGUGAAAUGCUUAGAGAUCAUACAGAACACCGAUUGCGAAGGCAGCUUACCAAACUAUAUCUGACGUUGAGGCACGAAAGCGUGGGUAUCGAACAGGAUUAGAUACCCGGGUAGUC